AUAUAUACACACACACAUAUAUAUAAUUAUAUAUAUAAUAUGUAUAUGUGUAUUUAUAUGUAUAUGUAUGUAUGCAUGUGUGUGU